CUGAAUAGGGCGCAUAAGUAACAGGUCGUAGACCCGAAACCAGGUGAUCUACCCAUGUCCAGGAUGAAGGUAAGGUAAUACUUACUGGAGGUCCGAACCCACGCACGUUGAAAAGUGCGGGGAUGAGGUGUGGGUAGCGGAGAAAUUCCAAUCGAACUUGGAGAUAGCUGGUUCUCUCCGAAAUAGCUUUAGGGCUAGCCUCGAGGUAAAGAGUCAUGGAGGUAGAGCACUGUUUGGACUAGGGGCCCUUCUCGGGUUACCGAAUUCAGAUAAACUCCGAAUGCCAUGUACUUAUACUCGGGAGUCAGACUGCGAGUGAUAAGAUCCGUAGUCGAAAGGGAAACAGCCCAGACCACCAGUUAAGGUCCCCAAAUAUAUGUUAAGUGGAAAAGGAUGUGGGGUUGCUUAGACAACCAGGAUGUUGGCUUAGAAGCAGCCACCAUUGAAAGAGUGCGUAAUAGCUCACUGGUCGAGUGACCCCGCGCCGAAAAUGUACCGGGGCUAAACAUAUUACCGA
rnacentral:rRNA from 1 species